GGAGAUGCGCGGCUGCUGCGGAUGACGUCACACGCACCUUCGUGCACUACGUCCUCUCCGCACUGAGCGAGUCCCUAUAUAAACCCCCGUACACAAGCCAGAAUUGCUGCAGUCUCUCGGGAGACUCAUGGAGGAGAGUGCCAUCGCACAUACUGAACCAGGCUUAUCAUUGCCUUAAUCCUUGGCUACCAGCCGGCAUCCAGCUCUGGUUUCUCAUUUCUACUACCAGGAAAUGUUACAUGUAUUGAGGAUUGUUAGAGGGUAGUGAUCGCUCUCUGCCUUCUCCCUUCUCCUCAAGCCCUGUCCUCCUUCAUUGAAGGUAGGAUGUCCCCUUUAUUAUUUUUGUUAUUAUCCAAUACCAGCUCGAUAUUCUAUUCAUUGCAUUAUCUUCUAUCUUUUACCUUUCAGACUGUUACUAUUUAGUUUAUGCGGGUCAUUUCCCUACACUUUUUACAACGUCCAGCAGCCCGGACACAGUCUAUUUCUUAUCUUAUUUUAUUGACAGAAAAUUUAUAUAUUGAUCCCCCUACCAACCAACACUAUCUUUAAAACUACAUUGCUGACUCCGUGAGGAAGCGCUGCUAAAGCGCGAAACCGGUCGAGUCCACCUACGCAGCAAGCCAAACCACCGCAGACAUUUCUCUGCCUGCAUUUCCACAACGUGACAGGACCACUAAUUACAUUCAUGCACCUUAUUCCAAAUACUUUUGGAAGUGUUCAAUUUUAUUGUUGAUAUUUUGUUAUAAUUUAUGUAUAUAUUCCUGUCAAUGUUCAUGGAUAGGCUUGCCUAGAUUAGCCUGUUAGAUGGUUUUUUGUGCUGGAAACGGCAAUACUCUUUCUUCUGUAUUUUUCUACACAUUAUGAUAUUUUAUAUCUAAAUAAACAAAUCUACUUUUUAGAAAAAAUUCUUUUCUUGUAUAUAUAUUCUGACCAACCAAAUCGUGCCUAAAAAGUCCAAAAACUAGCCCCUAGUUCCCUCCUUUAUCAUUUAUACUAGGACGCGGCACCCUCUUUUUACUUUAUAAUAUCCACAUGCACACUACAUGUGAGGAUAUUGUUACCUCUUU